rnacentral:rRNA from 1 species
AUUUAACGGCCGCGGUAUUAUAACCGCGCAAAGGUAGCGUAAUCACUUGUCCCCUAAAUAGAGACUAGUAUGAACGGCUAACUGAGGGCCCAACUGUCUCCUAUGCCCAAUCAAUGAAACUGAUCUUUCAGUACAAAAGCUGAAAUACCACCACAAGACGAAAAGACCCUGUGGAGCUUUAAACCUACCGCUACACACACACCAUAAAUCCGCCUCGGAUGUAAUACACUUGUCCCAAUAGCAAACGUUUUAAGUUGGGGCGAUUGCGGAGAAAAACAAAACCUCCAUGACAAUAGACUAAAACUCUACCACGAGGCCCACGAGCCAUGUGCAUAAACAUUGACCCAGUAAUACUGAUGAGCGGACCAAGUUACCCCAGGGAUGACAGCGCCAUCCUCCUCAAGAGUUCCAAUCGCCAGGGGGGUUUACGACCUCGAUGUUGGAUCAGGACACCCAAGUGGUGUAGCCGCUACUAAAGGUUCGUUUGUUCAACGAUUAAUGUCCUA